rnacentral:rRNA from 1 species
GACGUAGGGCGCGAGCGUUGUCCGGAUUUAUUGGGCGUAAAGAGCUCGUAGGCGGCUUGUUGCGUCGACUGUGAAAACCCGCGGCUUAACCGCGGGCUUGCAGUUGAUACGGGCAGGCUAGAGUUCGGUAGGGGAGACUGGAAUUCCUGGUGUAGCGGUGAAAUGCGUAGAUAUCUGGAGGAACACCGGUGGCGAAGGCGACGUCCUGGACCGGCAUUGACGCUGAGGCGCGAAAGCCAGGGGAGCAAACGGG